UUUAUCUAGUGCAUAUAUUUGUUAAUAUUAUUUUAUUUGUUUUUAUUAUAUUGAUUAAUAAGUCAAUAUUAUUUUGAUAACUAUGUAUUCAACUGAGAGGGAAAUUCUAAAACAACAUAUUGGAUGGAAAAAUGGUUGGGAAGAUAGGUGCCCAUUCUGUUCCUAUCUUCAGAAGUUAUUUAUACCUAUGCAAUACCUUCGCUCAGGUUAAAGAAUGGAAUACUAGUCUUGCAUCAAAUAUAUAUUACAUAUCCAUUCGAUGUUUAUCACCAGAAGUUAGUUCUACCUUUGCAGUACCUCUGUUCUACAUACCUCCUCGCUGGUUAAAGAAUGGAAUAUAAAUCUCAUAUCAAGUUGGUGUAAAAAUUUAGUUCAAUAAAUUAAGAAUUUGUAAACGUUAUCAAAAUUUUGAGUGGAGCAAUUGUUUUUCUGGUUUAGCAUGAGUAUGAAUCUGAUAUCAAUUGGAUGUACAAAGAUAGUUUACUACUUAAAGAACCUGUCAGUAAACCAACUGAUUAUAAAACAGUUUUUAAUGGGAAUAAAAACAAAUUUUCAAAAGAUUUCAAUUAGCUAUUUGUAUAUUCAAACACUUUAUUUACUGAGAGAAGAGACUAUAGAUU